GAUCCUACGGGGGGCAGCAGUGGGGGAUAUUGCACAAUGGGCGAAAGCCUGAUCCAGCGACGCCGCGUGAGUGAAGAAGCGUUUCGGCGCGUAAAGCUCUGUCAGCGGGGAAGAAACACGGUUCGCGAGAGCCGCGGACGGUACCCGACCAAGAAGCCCCGGCUAGCUACGUGCCAGCAGCCGCGGUAAUACGUAGGGGGCAAGCGUUAUCCGGAUUCACUGGGUGUAAUGGGCGCGAAGACGGCGAGACAAGUCUGGAGUGAAAGGCCGGG
rnacentral:rRNA from 1 species